AGUAUACAUAACCUAUAGCCCAGGGACAGGGCCACCGGCUCAACCAAGCCACAACACCGCAACAAGCUUCCUCAUGCCAGGCCUGGGAGCAGGUUGCCAAGAAGGGGAACUGCAUUUAUUUUGAGCAACUCAGAAUGGUGGUUCUCACUCCAUUUUACUGCCGGCAAGGGGAGAAUUUGCCAGGGAGCAUUUUUAUCACAAUCACUGGCUCCUCCUAACUGUCCUCUGGCCUUACCUACCUGGCAUCUGAGCCCCAACUCUGAGCUGGGACCCUUCAGCCCUGGCUGCACAGUCAAGGCCCUGAGCUGAUGAUGUUCUUCUAUGGCCUCAUACACUGUCCAAGACGGGCUCAGAGUCUGAGAAGACAGCACAGGAAUGCAGCCAUAGCCUGGCUCAGCAGCUUACCCCAGGCCAGCCACUGUCCGACACUGGUAGGUCCCUCUGUGGACCCUGCUUUUUCACGUGCCUCUCAAUGUUUUCUCAUUUCUCAUCUCAUCCUGAGCAGUGAGGAAACUCCACCACUCAAAAGGCAGAGGCUGUUCUAAAUGCAUCAUCCGAAUCAGAAGACUAGCUGCUGCCAAGACUCGGCUUCACUGGCCAUACUCCCUCCUUUUCAGGCCAAAAAGUACUCCUCAGCUGGCACUUUCCUCACUCGGAAGCUAAGUACAGGCAGUGUGACAGCCUGCCUGGUGCAAAGAUUGUCAGGGCCUCAAGACCGGCUCACCCGGCUACUUACACUCUGAGGCCUCCUAGCUUUCCUGUCAGAAAUACCCGGAAAAUUACUAGGUCAGGGGUGAGCUGACCAAGGUUUGGCAUGGAGUUUUUGAAAGGACCCUGAUGGGAUCCCGGCCACACCCAAUCCCCACGGAGGCCCUAGGACAGGGAGUGUACCGCCGUACAACAGAGCCACGCUAACUCCAGUCCCCAGCCCUCGCGUCCGUCCUGCAUCCAUCUGUCCAGCCAUCCCAUGGGUGCCAGGCCUAGAACUCAAGCGUCCAGGACAGAUCAUCUGAGGAAGUUCCUCCACUGUGCUGACUCUGCUAUACUACUGAGCCAGGGCUUCAGCCUGCCAUGUAGCCAGUUGGAGUCUCUGCUACCUUCCCCACAGCCAUGCCAUGCCCUAGGAAACAGAGGGCUCAACUUACCUGCGCUGCCCAGAGGUAGUCCAGCCGAAGUCUGACGUCCACUUGCCUGGCAUGCAGGGCCAGCGUACAUGAGAACAGCAGGAUAGCCAUGAUUGGCUCAUAGCUGCGCCCAGAUAGGGCACCACCCCUGAGGAGGUGGAGGAGAAAGAAAUCCCAUCAGACUCAGCUUCCAGGCAAGACAUGGCCAUCAAACCCUGGGUCUGGGCAGGGAGCCAUUUCUGGGGUGGUAAGGCCUACAAAACAACUUGGGGCCUGACCGCAGGCCUGGCUCUCAUCUCAGCUAGAAGUUAAAAGACUUUGCUAGGGUCCAGGCUCAAGAAGAGAAAUGGAAAAGCCACCAAACUAGAAUAAAAUUGUAUACAUCUGGUUUGCA